rnacentral:tRNA from 1 species
GGGUCGGUAACUCAGCAGGUAGAGUAGCGUCCUUUUAAGUCGCAAGUCGCGGGUUCGAACCCCGCUCGACCCACCA